CCUACGGGAGGCAGCAGUGAGGAAUAUUGGUCAAUGGGCGCGAGCCUGAACCAGCCAAGUCGCGUGAGGGAUGACGGCCCUACGGGUUGUAAACCUCUUUUGCCGGGGAGCAACGGGCGCCACGUGUGGCGCCACGGAGAGGACCCGGAGAAAAAGCAGCGGCGAACCCCGUGCCAGCAGCCGCGGUAAUAGGGAGGAUGCGAGCGUUAUCCGGAUUUAUUGGGUGGAAAGGGUGCGUAGGCGGAUCGUUCAGUCCGUGGUCAACUUGAGGGGCUCACCCCCUUCCCGCCCUUGAAACUGGCGCUCUUGAGUGGACGAGCAGUCUGCGGACUGCGUGGUGUCGCGG
rnacentral:rRNA from 1 species